AUGAGUGAGGCGGACUCGGAAGAAACUCGGGCGCACUCGGCAGCACUCGGCUCGAAUACGCAUGCGCAGUCGACCACUGAAGACGUUCUUUGGCGGAGACGGAUUGGCGGCAGCGAGAAGGCAGUGCAGGUGUGCGAGUUACUUUAAGAGUACAGAUGUGACUGGGAGGUGAACAGCAUCCUCCGUGGCUCAACCGUCAUCCUUGGAGAUGACAACGCAGACUUCUUCAAGAAUUUGUGUGAGUUUAGGAUGGCGUGAAGCUUCGACUUGACCCUAUGGAAACACAGCAGAUGCCACCAAAGGGUCCUGAUCGGGGACUCUGAUGACCUUCUGGACGUGUCCCACACCUCCAUUGGGACCCUGACGGUGCUGAAGACAUCGUGGCCUCCUCACUCACUGGACUUGGAGUCUUCAACUACUGCCAUCGUUUUGGGAGGAACAGUCGUGAUGGGUGACCGUGAUAAUCUUCCCCGUGCCGUGUGGCUACUCUUCGGACUUAUUUACCCCUGAAUUUAGAGUAUCCUCAACGAGUGAGGAACACCUUCUGAAUUUAUUCAUAGAGUGCUUCUCUCACUUGGACCAAAAACCCUAAAAUACAAUCACUCAAAAAUCUACUGAUGCCGUAAUGGACUGUGUUCAUGAUGUGCAGUCAGGCCCGAGAACUUCACCCUUCUAUCACCAAUAGAACUCUUUUAUAGAAAAUGUCUAUUUUUGUUGUUUUUCUGUAGUGAAAUUGAGCAAAUGCCGAAAACGCUGUGUUCAUCAUAUUUCUGCGUUACAAAACCUAAUCUGGCAACAUGUUCAGCGUUUUAAGCACGUUGUUUGAGUUUUAAAACAUGUGUUCUUCUAAAUAAACUUUGUCUUCCAUUGUAA